rnacentral:rRNA from 1 species
UACGUAGGGCGCAAGCGUUGUCCGGAAUUAUUGGGCGUAAAGAACUCGUAGGCGGUUUGUCGCGUCUGCUGUGAAAGUCCGAGGCUCAACCUCGGAUCUGCAGUGGGUACGGGCAGACUAGAGUGUGGUAGGGGAGACUGGAAUUCCUGGUGUAGCGGUGGAAUGCGCAGAUAUCAGGAGGAACACCAAUGGCGAAGGCAGGUCUCUGGGCCACAACUGACGCUGAGGAGCGAAAGCAUGGGGAGCGAACAGG